rnacentral:rRNA from 1 species
UCCCAGACUCCUACGGGAGGCAGCAGUGGGGAUAUUGCACAAUGGGGGGAACCCUGAUGCAGCGACGCCGCGUGGGUGAAGGAGUAUUUCGGUAUGUAAAGCCCUAUCGGCAGGGAAGAAGCAAGACGGUACCUGACUAAGAAGCCCCGGCUAACUACGUGCCAGCAGCCGCGGUAAUACGUAGGGGGCGAGCGUUAUCCGGAUUUAUUGGGUUUAAAGGGUGCGUAGGCGGUCCGUUAAGUCAGCGGUAAAAUUGGGGGGCUCAACCCGGGCGCGCCGUUGAAACUGGCAGACUUGAGUUGGCGAGAAGUACGCGGAAUGCGCGGUGUGGCGGUGAAAUGCAUAGAUAUCGCGCAGAACUCCGAUUGCGAAGGCAGCGUACCGGCGCCAGACUGACGCUGAGGCACGAAAGCGUGGGGAUCGAACAGGAGUAGAUGCCCUUGUA